CAAAAUAAAAUGUAAAUUUCAGCAUAUUUUUCACACAAAAAUGUGUUAGUGCGUAGAAAUGUGAUCAGGCUGAGCACAUGGUCUUAUGGAUUUCAUAAUUUCCGGCGCUUAACGUGAAAACAGUUAAAGCACAGGAUUCACAAACAUUAAAUUUAUGCUUAAAUCUAUAUGCGAUACGUUAUGCAUAUAAUUAUAAUUCACGAUAAUAUCGCAUAUGGAAGUAACUGGAAUAAAUUUGGACUAUUUCCUUCGGAAGUUUACAUGACUGUCCUGUCAAAAGGCCUCCCUCGUGUUUACAUAUUUUGACAGGUCGAGUUGUUCUGGGACUAGGAACAAUGGAAAGUGCAAAGUUAUAUAGAUCUAUAUAAAUUAAUUAUUUUUGCAAAGUGUUCAAAGUAAGGUUGAUAAUCAGUCGACUCUAUUUCAAGAUCUGAGAAUGAUUUGCCUAUUUUUGGGCGGAGAACAUAGCAUAUGCAUAUGUAUCACUGCCACCAUAGAUUAUCAUUAGCUGCAGAUAAGAUCCACUGGAUCUUGAAAUAGAGUCGAUGCAGAAUUAACGCAUUAUUUCAUAGAUAGUGAAUCGAUCAGAAUAGACAGAAUAGAUCAUUGUCAUAGAAAAAGCGUUGAUGUACUUUUUGCAUUCGAAUUGACAUAAUUUGAACAUAGACUCUGCAUUUAUGCCAUAAAACACGUCUGAUUGGACGUGCUGAAUCAUCCGGUAAAAACCAUCAAUAUUUCUAAAGUAACAUUAAUUAGAAUCAAGAUCUGAUGUGCAUUUAAUCCGUCAUGUGUUUGUUUCAGAUGAAUGAAAACCUGCACCAUGGAAACAAUGUCAUUUGCAAACAUUUUAAACCUGUGCUGGGCGUUCACAUUGACAUUUUUUGUUCAACAGGAAUACAUGAUGUCGACCAACAGUACAGCUAGAUGAAGAUAUAAAUUUAUUCAAAGAAAUAAUGGGACAAUGAAUGUUAAAAUUACCAAGAAGAAUACUGCCAAUUUACACAUCAUUUUAUAUAGUUACAGUAUGAUAUGGUGAACAAAAAGCCCUCAAUGCAGCCAGUUCUGGAGCUUUGGCUAGACUGUGAACAGUAGACAUCAAAAGAUGAUCAUCUGAAGGGCCACAAUUGUUUAAAGCACUGGUCAACAAAAUCUGAACUAUUUGAUGGAUCAUACAUGUGUAGAAUGUACUACCAUAUUUCCAGAAUCAGACAAAUAGAAAUAUCAAGUAUUAGAGAGAAAAAAAAAGUAUGCAUCAUGUAUGAAGAACUGCCUAAGAAUGAUUUGAAAAUUCAUUAGAAAUCUAACAAUUGCUUAUUGCAUAAUGCAUUUGGAAGUUAAGACAGGUGUACUCUUCAGGAAAAUAUGUGUCCAGUGCAACAUUUCUUUUUCAAUUUUGUGAGCAUAAUUCUACAUAAAAAUUGUUACAUGGCUACAGGGAUAAUAUAAAAGGUUUGAUCUUAUUUCCAAACAUAUUGGGUGAAUCAGAGAAGAAAUAUCAAGAAUUAGGGAACAAGAAAUAAUUGUCAUGAAUGAAGAACUUGCCUUUUAUUAAUUUACAGAAUACUUUUUAGCCUCACAACUGUUAAUGAUAUUAUGAAUAUGGAAGUUAAAAGUGUGGACUUCGAUUAAUCUUCAACUUCUCUGAGCAUAGUUCUACAUAAAAAUAGUAACUUUAUAAAAUUGUCUUGAAAAAAAGUGUAAGACUUUCAUACUUGUUUUAUAGAAAAUGUUUCUGGAUGUUUCAAUGUAAGUUUGCUAGACCCAGACCCCUAGCUCCUAAGUCAAGGUUGCACUUAGAUUUCAAAGGUUAAAAGGGUCUGUUUCUGUCUGGUCAAUAACUGCCAUACAUAAAGGGAUUUUGGAAUUACUCGGUAUAAAUGUUCACCAUAAAGAGACAACGUGUUAUGCGCAAGACCCAAACGCUUGUUCCAAGGUCAAGGUCACACUUAGCGGUCAAAGGUUAAUAGAGUCUUUUUGGUGUCUGUUCAAUAACUCUGCGAUCCAUUAAGGGACUUUUAGAUAACUUCGCAUAAAUGUUCACCAUAAUGAAACGAGGUGUCAUGCCCAAGACCAAGACCCCUAGCUCGAAGGUCACACUUAGAGGCCAAAGGUCAGAUACUUUGUCCAGAGCAUUUCUUGUUCAUGCAUGGAGGGAUUUUGAUGUACAAUGGCAAAACUGUUUAUCUUCAUGAGAUGGUGUGUCAUGAGUAAGAACCAGGCCCCUAAUCCUUUGCUGUUACUAUAAAUAGCUAUUACUGUAAAGUUCUAUUCUAUUAACCCUUAUCAUGCUGAACAUGAUUUAUUCGUCUUUGCGACCAGUGUAGAUCAUGAUCAGCCUGCACAUCCAUGCAGUCUGAUGUUGAUCAGCACUUUUCGCCAUUCAAUCAGUAUAUUUUUUAUCCCUUUUAACAGUUAAUGGUACUGUCCAAAUUGAAAAAUGGACAAGUUCAUUUUAAGGUACCUCUUCCUGGUAAGGAGUUUUUUGUGGACUUAAAAAUUCAAUACUUACUUUCCUUUGUUGCUAUAAAACGAUUAUUCUUGAAACUUUUUAUCCUGGUUGUUAGAAUUGGAUAUGUCAUUGUUUUGGCUUUUUGUCUACCAAACUUAUAGUUUUGUACAGAAAAUGUUUUAUUAUAUCAUCUACCUGACAAGCAUAUAUUUAACAUCCUGGCACUCUUGUUUUAUUUUGUUUAUGACAUAUAGCAUGGCCUAGUGGACUUCUACAAAAUUUGUUCAGAUCAUGACCCCCGGGGGUCACUUUAUUUUACGUAGGAAAAUCUUCAAAAAUUUUCUAAAAAUAAACCAGAAGGUCUACAACUUAGAUAUUUCACAUGUAGCAUUGCCUAGUAGACUUCUACAAAAUUUGUUCAAAUCAUGACCCCUGGGGUCAACAUGACCCGGCCCCAGGGGUUACCUGAUUUUACAUAGGAAAAUCUUCAAAAAUUUUCUAAAAAUAAACCAGAAGGCCUAGAUCUAUUGCCUAGCAGACUUCUACAAAAUUUGUUCAAAUCAUUACCUCCGGGGUCAAACUGACCCCGCCCCAUGGGGUUACUUGAUUGUACAUAAAAAAAAAUUCAAAAAUUUUCUAAAAAUAAACCAGAAGGCCUAGAGCUUAGGUAUUUCACAUGUAGCAUUGCCUAGUAGACCUCUACAAAUCAUGACCCCUGGGAUCAAAAUUGACCCUGCCCCAGGGUGUCACUUGAUUUUACAUAGGAAAAUCUACAAAAAAUUUCUAAAAAUACACCAGAAGACCUAGAGCUUAGAUACAUUACAUGUAGCAUUGCUUAGUGGACCUCUACAAAUUGUUUAAAUCAUGACACCUUGGGUCAAAAAUGAUCCCGCCCCAGGGGUCACUUGAUUUUCUUUUUCUUUUUGGUUAAAUUUCUUCAAUUUCUUGUCUUUAAGUGCAAUGAUAACAGGUGAGCGAUAUAGGGCCAUUAUGGCCCUCUUGUUCUGGAGUUGUUGCCCUAUUUGAUCUUGAACUAAUUCAUCACAUCUGAACUCGUGAUCUUAAGUCGAACAGAUCCAUCCAACUGAAUUGAAACUAGGUAUACAUCAGAAGCAUGAAAUGCAUAUGUACAUGUUGCCCUGAUUUUUAUGAUCGAUUAUUCUGUCUGGAGUUGUGGCCCUUCUUUAACGACGAAUGACAACUACAUUGUAGUUUCCUUCUCUUCAUUUCAAAUAAAACUUGUUAAGCAUCAUAAACAGUAUGUAGACAUGCGCAUUUAUAUCAUUAUUGACCCGUCGUUAUUAUAGAUUAUUGAAUGAAACAUUUUUGUCGACAUCAUUCUAGUUCGCUUUGCAACCUCCGUGAAGGAAUAUUGUCAAAGUAUACCAAUAAGGGGUAGAGUUUGCUUUCUUUUGUAGCAAAACUUUCUAUUCUAUGCAUAAUUGUGUCUUGCUCAUAUACACAACACUUUGACUUGUGUGAACAUGCAUGAAUUUGUUAUACUGCAAAAUAAAACAAUCAUCAUUGAUUA